UUGCAUUUCCUAUUCAACGAAGUCGAAAUCCCAUUUCAUAAUAUCUCUAGGCCGAUCAAUCGCUGUCCCAAAUUGUUAGUUUCCAGUUUGUCUCAUCAAUUAAGGCCUGCUUUUGUUUUUCUAAAAGAUUAGGGCUUUGUGGGUCUACAAAAGUUAAAUUAUCAAACUACUUUGUCGCUUGUUUAUAACGUGGAGAGAAGAUUGACGGGUAAGAUUGAAUUUAGGAAGAUUAAAAAUAUGGCUGUGAGGGCACCUUGGAUUUUGACUCUUAGUAUGGACAGGAAUUUGGGGCCUAAACUUGAUUACUUUGUGAGAGAAAUAAAAGGUGAUUUAGAGGAAUUUAAGAAGUUUCCGCGGUUCUUUUCGUUCAGUCUUGAGAGGAAGAUUAAGCCUAGGCAUAGAAUGUUGGUGGAGUAUGGACUGAAGAUGCCACUGUCGAGAAUGUUAAAGGUUAAUGAAGGGGAAUUCAACGCUAGGUUGUUUGAAAUGCUGCUGAGAAUGGUGGAGGAGAGGUAACUUGAUUGGACAUACUCAGUAAGUUGACCCAUUGCUUGCUUGCCCGUGUAUUUUGAUAAAGUAAAGUAAUGACUCCUUGCUUGCUUGCCUGUGUAUUUUGAUAAAGUAAAGUAAUGACCCCUUGCUUGCUUGCCUGUGUAUUUUGAUAAGGUAAUGUUUGGAUUAUGUGAUAUACCAUGAUAGUUUUACAUGUGGGCAUGUUUUGAGUUUGUGAUAGAUGAGAUUUAAUUUUUAAGUUGCUAUAGAUUUGAUUGAGAUAUCAUGCUGAUCGUGAAUUGUAAUUUGUGUCUUAGGACGUGAAAAACUGUCUCGUGUCUAUAAAGUUUGAUUCUGUGUAGCGUAGUUCAUAUGCAAUUAAACUGUUAAGGGAAAUGAUUGAAAGAGAAACAUUUAAAAAGAAAAGAAAAGAAAUAGGGACACCACAUGUAUUGCAGGAAGUUAUGCUUAGCCGUGUACAUGGAACUUUGCUGGGAUGUGAAAAAUUGUCUCUGUUUCAAGUGUGAGUGUGGUUUAUGCAGUUUAAGGAGCCAAGACGUUGAUCGUUAAGCCUGUUGUUAACAUUGGUUUGGUAUGUCGCGACAUAGUCAAGCCUUAACAGAAACCAAACACUUUAUGAUGUCUUGCUGUGUAAACCUUUUUCUUUUACAUGUGCUCUGUCGCAGAGCUUCUAAGGACACUUGAUAUCAUAGAGAUAUUCCAUCUCAGUGAUGUGAAUCCUAAAUCUCUCAGAUUGGGAGACUCCAAGAACUACUUUUAUUUCUCAAACUCUGUUCUGGAAGGAAAUGUUUAAAAACUCAACGGAAUUUGGCAGUGUUGGGAGGAUUUCGAGCAGUGGCUUUGAGCCUAUAACAACCGUGAGGAAUAGUCAAGUCAAUAAGAAAGUCCUGCUAUUCUGUCCUAAUUCAAGAAAUUCAAGUGUACAAUUGUCCUGCUAUUCGUAUGUGGCCUGUUGGCAAUAAUUUAUACCAUAGCCAUCAGUGUUCCUAGGUAGUUGUAGUUUUUUGACAGUCUUCUGUCUAGCAUGUUAAUUUGUGAUUCUAUCCAUUUCUUCUUUUAGGAACGCUCUCACAAUACCUAAUAGCACUAUCUACUAUACAGUAGAGCUUUUAAAAAAUUUAAUAAAACACAAUUUAACAUGUUCCACUUGCUGGAGAACAGUAACUGUUCUGCAAACAGUAGAAUGCAAAAAACUAAGUUCUACAAGCGUAUUCUAGCAUUAUCAUUACAACUUUUUGGACAUUCAAGUCUUGUCAAAUCUCUCCUUGCAAUACUGGAAUGCCCUUUCCUAUUGCUAAAGAGAAAACCCCAACGAAUGACAGGGAGUUAAAUUUGAGUAUCUUGUGUGCUUUUAGUGAUGCCUUUUGAAUUUUUGUUCUUUCCAUUCAACUCAUUCCCAGUGCUCUUUUGAUGUCCCCUAAUCAUUUUCAUAACCGAAGCUACAACCCAAUCCUGGACACACCUGACUUCUAAUCUACUUCCCCGACAGACCAAUGUUGUUGAAUGCGUUCUGUUAUCCUCUCUAUCACCACAAAUUCCAUAACCACCAUCACCAAUCACAACCCAACUUCUACGUCUAACCUCAUGGAGAAAAGACCUAGUUCUGCUGCAACUGCAACUGUGUCGCUUAUCAAAAUGUGUGUGACUAUAUGCCUCGGGGAUGGGAGUUGUCUAGGAAUAGAAGUUAAUGAUUUGCAUUUCCUCUGUUUGGGGUUGCAUGCCCUUUCUAAAAAUUCCUUAAGUUGUAUGGUUUUUUUUGCAGUUGCUCCUUUUUUGUGCGAACUCCAUGAGGUUAAAAUGAGUUUGUCAUCAGGUUGAGCUGCUUAAGAAUUUUCUGUAUAGGGCCACUUGGGCUCCUCUCUGACAUCAAGAUUGAGUUUUAUAUCACAAAAUAUAGCGUACAGUUGUUUGUGCUUUCUUUCUCCUUCCCUUUUCCGAGGGAUGAAAUGGAUGUUGAAAUACAGUAUCAGUUGAAGCCCCCGAGUUUUUCUUUUCAACUUUUGUUUCCUUGACGUCUUCUGGCUCUAUACUAGGCUGCUACCAGCAUUUCUGGAAACUCUGGUUUCAGGUGAGUUCAGAUUUUUUUUAGUGGAAAAGACUUCUUAGGAGUUCUAAGAAUGCUGCUUUGGAUUAAACGAGUUUAUCAGCUUGACUGAUUGAUGAUUUCCCAUUAGUACCGCAGACACAUGCAGAAGUUUUUUUUUUUCCUGCUUGAUUUUUGAUUUGAAAGAGUUUCUGUAUCUGUGCAUACUCUCUUGAUUCACAAAGCAAUAGUAGAGAUACCGGAAUGUCACUUCAAGGAUAUUUAAGCAUCUCAGCAACGAGUACAAAUGAAGUGGUCUUCCGAACUUAUUCAAAGUGGGAUUUGCUUACAUAUAUUACACCAGUUUAGUAUGUAUCAAUCCAACCGCAUGAAUUCUUUUGUGACCAUGAACAAUAUGUUAUGGAUACAUCGUUGAAGUAUUUGGUGUGGAUUUGGGAUGUCUCAGGCCAGCUCAGUUUCUCAAGGAAGACUUGAAGCACAAAUGGUGUGUUAUUCCUAAUUUUUGGACCUCACAUUUGUUCUGAACAGUGGCUUUUUCCUGCUUUAUAAAUGUCUUAUUUUAGGGUGCUUGCUGACCACCUUCUAGUCCCCAUUUAUUGCAGUCUAAACACAGGUUAAGUGUUACUGAAGGUGGGAAGAUUGAUUUAAGGUUAUGAUCAUGGGGUAUAAUUGUGCUGUCAAAUCUAUUUCACUUAUUUUACUGGAGCGUACAUGAACUUUGCAAGUAUCCUUGCAUAACUAAUUUCCACUGUAGCCAUUUAAAACUCUCGGGUAUCCAACUGAGGUUGCUUUGUGGAAGACUUUGAAGGUGCAAAGAUGAAAAUAAAGGAGAACGGUUUCCGUGCUUGGUAGGUCUCCUCUUCCUUUCCUCAAGUGUUAAUAUGGUUUGGGACCUGAAUUCGGGGACGCUGCUGAAGCUCCACAUUACGUGGGAUUACAGGUUCAAAUUCUCUACAUCCACCCUAAAGUAAUUUGAUAGCUCAGGAAGGAGCUUGUGCAUGGUAGAAUGGAGACAUCGAUGGCACUACAAGUGACUGAUCAUCUUAUUUUUGGUGGUUUACAUGGAAACGUAGAAGCGUAAAGACCUGCACGGUGCACAGUGAUCUUAAAAUAAGUAAUUUUCACUUCAUAUGUGAAUAUCCUGUGUUUGAACUAAGUUCCAUUGUAGGCAUAUUAACCGAGCUGAAAAAGGUUGCCUGUAAGUUAUAUCCCAAGAUAUCCUAGUCUCUAGACUUGGAAAAGAUGAGCAUGUGGAGGAAAGCUUUGUGAAUUUACGACACCGGUUCAACCAAGCACUGCGAAGGAUGCUUAUUCAACUGUCUGUUUUUGGAUGUCACGUGCAGAAAGCUGCUGCUUGCAAUUCCAUCCGUAAGUUCUGAUGUAUAUCUCGGUGUUCUGACAUGAAUUCAUCAUAUGAUAACAAGGUAUUGGACAUGCAGUGCACGACAUUCCUUCAGGAUGUUUGAUUGCAUAAACUAAAUAAAUAAUUGAAUCUUGUUCCAGCA